CUCAGAUGUCAUCAACGCAAGCAGGCGGCUUGUUGAGAAAUCGACCGGAAAGCUACGAUUGGUGAGAAAGAGCGUCAACGGAGGUGAUAAAUAUUUAAAAAACGCAAGAAGAUUAUGCUAAAAAUGAUGUUUCUUUGGCAGAUCUACUGUUACACAUACCCAUUCAUUUGCAUGGCCAAAAGGUGCCCCAGUGGAGAAGUUACCCUGAUUGGCAAGUUAACAAGUACAUAAUAACAGACUUUUAUGGAUGCCGUCAACCAAGGAUCUAACCGGAAGUUAAAACCAGUAUAGGAGAGGCCACGACAGAAAAUAGAAAAAAACAGGUCAGUUGUUCAAAUAACUGAUGGCAAUCAGGGAGAGGAUUUAAGUA